rnacentral:snRNA from 1 species
GUUCACUUCGGCUGCACAUAUACUGAAAUUGGAAUGAUACCGAGAAGAUUAGCAUGGCCCCUGUGCAAGGAUGACAUGCAAAUUCGUGAAGCAUUCCAUAUUUUU